GACGAACGCUGGCGGCGUGCCUAAUACAUGCAAGUCGAGCGAAGUUUUUCUGGUGCUUGCACCGGAAAAACUUAGCGGCGAACGGGUGAGUAACACGUAAAGAACCUGCCUCAUAGACUGGGACAACUAUUGGAAACGAUAGCUAAUACCGGAUAACAGCAUUAACUGCAUGGUUGAUGUUUAAAAGUUGGUUUUGCUAACACUAUGAGAUGGCUUUGCGGUGCAUUAGCUAGUUGGUGGGGUAAAGGCCUACCAAGGCGACGAUGCAUAGCUGACCUGAGAGGGUGAUCGGCCACACUGGGACUGAGACACGGCCCAGACUCCUACGGGAGGCAGCAGUAGGGAAUCUUCCGCAAUGGGCGAAAGCCUGACGGAGCAACGCCGCGUGAGUGAAGAAGGAUUUCGGUUCGUAAAGCUCUGUUGUUAGGGAAGAAUGAUUGUGUAGUAACUAUACACAGUAGAGACGGUACCUAACCAGAAAGCCACGGCUAACUACGUG
rnacentral:rRNA from 1 species